UACGUAGGGUGCAAGCGUUGUCCGGAAUUAUUGGGCGUAAAGAGCUCGUAGGCGGCUUUGCAAGUUAGAGGUGAAAGCCCGGGGCUCAACUCCGGAAUUGCCUUUAAAACUGCAUCGCUAGAAUUGUGGAGAGGUAAGUGGAAUUCCGAGUGUAGAGGUGAAAUUCGUAGAUAUUCGGAAGAACACCAGUGGCGAAGGGCGGCUUCCUGGUCCAGCAUCGACGUCAGG
rnacentral:rRNA from 1 species